rnacentral:rRNA from 1 species
CAAUUCUGGUUGAUCCUGCCAGAGACCGCUGCUAUCCGGCUGGGACUAAGCCAUGCGAGUCAAGGGGCUUGCCGCAAGGCAAGCACCGGCGGACGGCUCAGUAACACGUGGACAACCUGCCCUCGGGAGGGGGAUAACCCCGGGAAACUGGGGCUAAACCCCCAUAGGAGAUGGAUACUGGAAGGUUCCAUCUCCGAAAGUCCGCAAGGAGCCCGAGGAUGGGUCUGCGGCGGAUUAGGUAGUUGGUGGGGUAACGGCCCACCAAGCCGAAGAUCCGUACGGGCCAUGGGAGUGGGAGCCCGGAGAUGGACCCUGAGACAAGGGUCCAGGCCCUACGGGGCGCAGCAGGCGCGAAACC